UAGUCCACGCCGUAAACGAUCAUCACUCGCUGUUGGCGAUAUACUGUCAGCGGCCAAGCGAAAGUAUUAAGUGAUGCACCUGGGGAGUACGCCGGCAACGGUGAAACUCAAAGGAAUUGGACGGGGGCCCGCACAAGCGGUGGAGCAUGUGGUUUAAUUCGAUGAUACGCGAGGAACCUUACCAGGGCUUAAAUGUAGUAUGACCGGUCUGGAAACAGGCCUUCCCGUUCGGGGCAGAUUACAAGGUGCUGCAUGGUUGUCGUCAGCUCGUGCCGUGAGGUGUUAGGUUAAGUCCUGCAACGAGCGCAACCCUCAUCUUUAGUUGCCAUCGGUUCGGCCGGGCACUCUAGAGAAACUGCCUGCGACGAGCGGGAGGAAGGGCGGGGAU
rnacentral:rRNA from 1 species